rnacentral:rRNA from 1 species
GAUGAACGCUGGCGGCGUGCCUAAUACAUGCAAGUCGAGCGAACAGACGAGGAGCUUGCUCCUCUGACGUUAGCGGCGGACGGGUGAGUAACACGUGGAUAACCUACCUAUAAGACUGGGAUAACUUCGGGAAACCGUAGCUAAUACCUGAUAAUAUAUUGAACCGCAUGGUUCAAUAGUGAAAGACGGUUUUGCUGUCACUUAUAGAUGUAUCCGCGCCGCAUUAGCUAGUUGGUAAGGUAACGGCUUACCAAGGCAACGAUGCGUAGCCGACCUGAGAGGGUGAUCGGCCACACUGGAACUGAGACACGGUCCAGACUCCUACGGGAGGCAGCAGUAGGGAAUCUUCCGCAAUGGGCGAAAGCCUGACGGAGCAACGCCGCGUGAGUGAUGAAGGUCUUCGGAUCGUAAAACUCUGUUAUUAGGGAAGAACAAAUGUGUAAGUAACUAUGCACGUCUUGACGGUACCUAAUCAGAAAGCCACGGCUAACUACGUG